AUGGCUAUAUCGCACUGAAACACCCAUUCUCAUAUGAUUACUGAAGUUAAGCAACAUCAAACCUGGUCAGUACUUAGAUGGGUGACUGUUUGGGAAUAACAGGUGCUGUAAG